rnacentral:piRNA from 1 species
UGAAGUCAUCCUGAUGUGAGGUUGUGGUC